rnacentral:lncRNA from 1 species
AGAGGACGGCAGAUCAAGAGCAUCUCAUCCUCCGGCUGCUGAGUCAUCCUGCUCUGGCAGUUAUUUAAACAGAAGGCUCCAGGAGACAUACAAUCAACACUCCACUCAGACAAUGCCCAGACCUCCAGAAACCAUGUGUCAAGCUCGGAUUGCCUUAGACAGGUGCAAUUUAAGAACAGCUUUCAUCCUCUUUUCUCUCAUAUUGUCACACUAUGUGUUCUGACUUCUGGCUCCUUUCCUCACAAGAAGCUCACCCAGCUGGAACUCUUAUGGGACCUUGGCACCAGAGACCACAAAUUCCUCUUUGAAGUUUUCUAACAGCAACAAUGGUAUUUCUGACUUGGCUUUCUUGUAUUUCUCUCACGUUAACAAAAUUGGUUCAGCAUCUACCAUGGGCUACAUGCUGAGCUACAGGUAAGGUUUGGCUAAAGGAUGAAUAAGAACCCCUCCUUGUCUUCAGGAGUUUGUCUAGCAGAGGAGUCUGUCAUGUAAUCAGGAAACUCCAGUACACAACGUGAUAGCUCUAAGACAGGUAUAUACAAGAUGAUGUUCUGGACCUUAACUGUUUGGGGAGUACUACUGCCUUUGUCUAAAAGCCAUCACCCUUUUUAUAUGCCAUUUGGGAGGAACUGGGGGGACGUGGGAGGCUUCAAAGGGUUAUGGGAGGAUGGACAUUUUAAAAGGGCUUUUCUUUUCUUUUUUUUUUUUUGAGACAGAGUUUCGCUCUGUCGCCCAGGCUGGAGUGCAGUGGCGCGCGAUCUCGGUUCACUGCAAGCUCCACCUCCCGGGUUCACGCCAUUCUCCUGCCUCAGCCUCCUGAGUAGCUGGGACUACAGGCGCCCGCCACCACACCCAGGAAUCCAACUUGCUGUUUGCUAUCACAUGUGCUAUACAUGCUGUUGAUGAAACUGCUAAAGGGGCUGAAUGUGACUGACGUCUUUGGAAGGAUGAGACUUAGCGUGCCUGUACAGUUGUGUCCAAAUGCUGUCCUCAUCUCCCAAUGAAAAGGUAUUGUAAAUAAAGAGAAAGAUCAGAGGCUUAUUUUAAACACUAAAUAUGAGCUAGGAGCUGUCCUAGACACUAUGUAAAAGUUUUAUUUAGUUCUCACUGUAAUGUUGGCCUUAUGUUAGCAUCCCAUUUUUCAGACUGAGGAAAUUAUGGCUCAGAGAGGUUAAGAGACUUAUUGAAGGUCACACAGCUCCACAAACUUUGGUGUAGAUUGAACGUGUACAUGGGUCUAUGUGACUUUGAAUCUUGCAUUCUUUACAUUAUUGGAAUAUUUCACAGAAGGAAAAUGACAUAUUAACAUGGCAAUAAGAUUUCUGGUUCCAGUCUGGUUACUGGUCUUCCAAGAGUGUUAUAGGAUGUAUAGCCUGAGCUCUGAAGCUUUGUUCUGAAGCAUGCUAUCAAUAUGAACAAAUUGGUAUGGAAGGAAGCCACAAAUUAUAUACUAAAAUCUAGUUCAUCAGAGGAAAAUAUAGUUAAAUACAUUUACAUUCCCAGAACUGUUAAUAUUGAAGAAUAAAACACACAGUGGGAAAGAGACGAAGAGAAAAUACGCCUGUUUUUAUGACUUGUUGAUAUCUACAGGGUUUUUCCUUAAGCCUCACAACAAUUUACAGCAUUGCCAGCAGCAUUCAGUACAUUCAGAACAGGAUAAUUUCACCCGCAGCUGAACUAGGGCCAUGCCUGGGACAGACAGAGAAUGGCCUUCCAGCAGACAUGCCAAGAAGCAAGCCAGGGUCAGUGAGUGAAGAGGAGGGCAGGCCCAUUUGAAGCAACACAGUUUAUGUAAGUGUGAUCUAACUGCUUUCACUGGAAAUGGGUCAGACUCCAGUUGAGAGAACCAGGGGCCUGAAUGACCCCAGCAAAAUCACUGUGGCAAUUCUUUCAAUCACCUCUGAGAAUAUGGCCCUGUGACGACAUAAUGACGUUUGGAUUAAUUCCAGUCGGCUGUGUUUUCCCCUCCUUUCUUGCCUCCCCGUAGUUGAUUUGCCAAAUUUUUUUUGUUUGCUUAAAUACGCGGAACUAAACAGGAUACAUUAUAUGACAGUCUGUGAUAAAUUUACCACUGGGAAUAGGGAAAAAGUAUGGGAUAAAGAAAUAGGUAUUUUUCGCCUCUCACAGCUGUGAUUCAGUUCUGACUCAAAAGGAAGUGUGCCACCUACUGAAUCACAGAAACCACUUCCUGUGGCUGUUUGGUUUAUUCUGGAGGAGCAUCAGGCCAAGUGCUGCCCUGCCCUGACCCUGACUGGCUCUUCAGAGCCAAGGCAUUCACAGCUUGAGGUGGUUUGGCCUCAGACUCUUGAGAACAUUGCAUAUUAAAUUACAAGUGUUUCGUUUCCUAGCAAGGAGUCUUUAGCAACAUGAAAACGAACGUGUGUUAUUUGCAAACCAAGUAUAUCAUUACUGAACCUGAAUAUCCUUACUUUUUCAUAAGGUACGUAUUCCGGAUGACCACUCUUAAGAUCUGAAUGUACACUGGUUCUGUUUUUCCUGAGGGGAACUUGGGCAGUCUGCAGGGUGGCAUUUACCAGCUGAGGGACUUCAAGAGCACCCUUUAAUCAGUGUGGCAGCACUCAACUUGUAUUCACUCACUCAGAGUAUUUUUGAGCAUGUACUUAUUGCCAUGUGCUGUGCUAGGUAGGGGUAGAGGGUACAGUGGUGAACAAGACCCCACAGCUCCUGACCUCAUGGCUCAUGUGUUCUACACCAUAAGGGAAUCAAGCUGUGUCUCCCGGGGCAGGGGCCUUCCUCUGUUCACCAUGCAGCCCCAGCAUCUAGCACCUGGCGUUGCAUAAAGGAGGCUCUAAAUCAAGCUUGUCCAACCCAAGGCCCACGGGCCACAUGUGGCCCAGGAUGGCUUUGAAUGCAGCCAAACACAAAUUUGUAAACUUUCUUAAAACAUUAUAAGAUUUGUGUGUAUGUGUUUUAGUCCAUCAGCUAUUGUUAGUGUUCAUGUAUUUUAUGUGUGGCCCAAGACAAUUCUUCUAUGUGGCCCAAGGAAACCAAAGAUUGAACACUCCUGCUCUAAAUACUUGUUUGUUGAAUAGAUACAUGAAAAGAAAGAAGGAGAGAAGGAAGAAAGGAGGGCGGAAGGAAAGGAAGAAGGGAGAGAAGAAGAGAAGAAAGAAGCAGAGAAAGGAAGAGAAAAGAAAUUACGGCCAGUGCGGUGGCUCACGCCUGUAAUCCUAGCACUUUGGGAGGCCUAAGCGGGCUGAUCACCUGAGGUCAGGAGUUCGUAAGCCAGCCUGGCCAACAUGGUGAAACCCUAUCUCUACUAAAAAUACAAAAAUCAGCAGGGCAUGGUGGUGCGUGCCUGUAAUCCCAGCUACCUGGGAGGCUGAGGUAGGAGAAUCGCUGGAACCCGAGAGGCGGAGGCUGCAGUGAGUUGAGAUCAUGUCACUGCACUCCAGGCUGGGCAACAGAGUGAGACUCUGUCUCAGAAAAAAAAAAAAAGAAAGAAAGAAAGAAAGAAAGUUACCAUUAGUUUUUUGUUGUAUUUGCAAGCAAAGACAAAAGCACCAAGGUACUUGUUUCCUUCUGUAAUUAGAGUUUCAAAUAGACUAAAAGUUUCUGCUCUUAGGUGGGUCUAGAGACUCUCCAGUACCUCAGGACCUCAGGACACAUGGGGUCUCUUGGUUGUUUUCUUUUCAUUGUUGUUGUUUAUUUUAUUUUUGUUUUUAUUUUUUAACUUUAAAACAAUUUUUUGUAGAUGAAUAUGCUUACAUAUGUUUGGGGGUUUUUUUGAGACAGGGUCUUGCUCUGUUGCCCAGGCUGGAGAGCGGUGGUUUAACCACAGCUCACUGCAGCCUCGACCUCCCAAGGUAGGGACUGCAGGUGUGUACACUGGGGUGCACCACCACACCCAGCUAAUUUUUAAAUUUUUUUUUGUAGAUAUUGUCUCACUCUGUUGGCCAGACUGGUCUUGAAAUCCUGGGCUCGAGCAAUUCUCCUGCCUCGGCCUCGUAACGCGUUAGGAUUACAAGCGUGAACACCGCACCUGGCCAGCAUGUGGUCUCUUAACCAGAGGAGGCCUCUUCUGAACUAGGUAGAGGUCCUGAGAAUUGAUUCUGAGAGUAAAAGGCUCUUUGUUCUCCUCAGAGUAGAUUAGAAUCCCUAAUGAUAGAGCAUCUAUUAUUCCUCUAGUGGUCCAUGCCCAACAGAUUCAUCCAAGAAUAGAUGAAGAUCUUUGUAAUGUUGUGCAAGUAAUCUAAUCACCCCACAGAAGAGCUGUGACUUAAAUUAUCCCAGAGUCGGCCCACCUGUUUUCAUAAAGAUCAAUGUAACUUGUAAAUUUCUUCAGUUCUCCUCACCUAUCAUCAUUUGACUAACAAAACCCAGAAAACUAGGCUAGUUAUGGUGGCCUAUGCAUAUAAUCCCAACUCUUUGAGAGGCCAGGGUGGGUGGAUUGCUUGAGUCCAGGAAUUCGAGACCAGCCUGGGCAACAAAGGGAGACCCUGCCUAUAUCCCAGCUAUGCAGGAGGCGAGGCCAGAGGAUUGCCUGAGCCUCAGAGGUUGAGGCUGUAGUGAGCCAUGAUUGCCCCACUACACUCCAGCCUGGAUGACAGAGUGAGACCCUGCCUUAAAAAUAAUAAUAAUAGUAAUAAUAUUUCAUAAAGAUACAGGAAACUAGAUUAUAAUUGACAUUUUCAAAGUGAAAUACUGUCUAGAAUGGUGCUUGGCCAACAGUAAGCUUUUUGUAAGUGGAAGUCAUUACUACUACUAUUUCUUUCAUUAUUAUUACCAUUACUACUUUUUUUUACAAAAAAAAAACCCUGGACAACACACUGAAACCAUUACUACUUCUACUACUAUAACUUAGGUUGCACCUGAUAGAGCCAGCAAUUUUUCCAAGGUAUGACAAUGGCCAUAUGUUUAAUGAUAUAAUUCUAUGGCUCAGUGUAUCUCAGCCUUUUUAAACCCUGCUCUUCUUUUGACAAUUGUAAAAAUCUUAAACUGACCUCCAGUUGAAAUCCUCUGUCAAGAAGAUAUUGUCGGCCAGGGGCGGUGGCUCACACCUGUAAUCCCAGCACUUUUGGAGGCCGAGGUGGGAGGAUCACUUGAGGUUAGGAGUUCAAGACCAGCCUGGCCAACAUAGUGAAACCCCAUCUCUACUAAAAAUACAAAAAUUAGGCAGGCAUGGUGGUGUGUGCCUGUAAUCCCAGCUACUCAGGAGGCUGAGGUAGGAGAAUUGCUUGAACCUGGCAGGGCAGAGGUUGCAGCAAGCCGAGAUCACGCCACUGCUCUCCAGCCUGGGUGAGACUGUCUCAAAAAAAAAAAAAAAAAAGAAAGAAAGUAAGAAAAAGAAGAAAUCCCAAUCUCUUCUUUUAUGUGGAUUCUUCCUCACUUGAAUAAUACUUUUCUUCCCCAGUAUUCUCCAUAUUAUCCCAGAGUCAGCCCCUCUGUUUUUGUAAAGAUCUACGUAACCUCCUCUAAGUUUCCCAGUUCUCCUCACCUAUCAUAUCAUUUGGCUCAACAAAGGGCAGGAAGCUAGAUUCUAAUUGAUAUUUUGAGGCCGGGAGCAGUGGCUCAUGCCUGUAAUCACAGCACUUUGGGAGGCUGAGGCGGGCAGAUCACUGGAGGUCAGGAGUUCGAGACCAGCCUGGCCAAUAUGGUGAAACCUCGUCUCUACUAAAAAUACAAAAAAUUAGCCAGGCUUGGUGGCUUGUACCUGUAAUCCCAGCUACUCAGGAGGCUGAGGCAGGAGAAUAGCUUAAACCUGGGAGGAAGAGGUUGCAGUGAGCCGAGAUUGCUCAAUUGCACCCCAGCCUGGGUGACAGAGCAAAACUCCAUCUCAAAAACAAACAAACGAACAAACCUGAUAUUUUCAAAAUUGAGGCAAUUAUAACAGCUAUUUAGCCAAGCAUUAUGAUAGCAAUAAUAGCAAGAAAAUAAAUUAGUUAACAAAUGAGUCUCAGAAGCCCAAUGAUUUUUAUUUUAUUUUUAUUUUUUGAACUUUUAUUUUAGAAUCAGGGGAUACAUGUGCAGGUUUGUUACCCGGGUAUAUUGCAUGAUGCUGAGUUUUGGAGUAUGCAUGAAUCCAACCUGUCAUCCAGGUAGUGAGUAUAGUACCCAACAGAUAGUUUUUUUAACAUUUACUUCACUCCCUUCCCCAAUCUUGUAUUCCCCUGUGUCUACUGUUCCCAUUUUUAUGACUGUGCCAACAAUAAUUUUUUUUCUUUUUUCUUUAAAUAGAGAUGGGGGUCUCUAUUUAAAGAGCCUCCCAAAGUGCUAGGAUUACAGGUGUGAUCCAUUGCACCUGGCCCAUGCCAACAAUAUUUGAAACCCUUAUCUGCGUGUACAAGUUUGCUACUGGUUUUGUUUUGCUCAUUAAUACAUCCCAAGCAUCUAUACCUGGCUUGUAGUACCAGCAUGUAGUAGGUGCUUAAUAAAUAUUUAUUGAAUAAAUAAAUUAGUUUGACAUUAGUUUAACAUCUCAAGUAAAACAAAAUACCAUUCAAUUAAUUCUCUUCUUCUACUUUUUUCUUUUAAGAGAGACAAAUAGUCACACAUACAUCAGCAGGAGAGGAUACAAUUUCCUGUGUUUAAGUUUUUAUGAGUUACUUUAGUUCAAAUGUCACAGAAAAUUAUAUUGAACUCUUGACCAAUCUAUCUAUUUUUUCCAUUGGAGUAUUGACCCAAAUAAGAAAUAGCAUAAAGGAAAAAUUAUUUUUUGGCAGAAAAAUAUUCUCUCUAAAUUCUUGUGUGUUUUGUUUUGAUUUUUUCCUUAGUGACUGGAGGCCAGUUUCAAUCCACUGAAGCACAGAUUCCAAAUUUUCAAUCUGGUUUUCUUGAGUAGUGACUGAGUGCCAAAAAUGAAGCAAUGACACAACAUCACCAUCAAGACACUCCCCAGCACGCACACACAUGCCAGAGUCCAACACCAAGAUACUCCCCAGCACGCACACACACGCCAGAGUCCAGGCCAUAUUCGGGUGGCUUGCAAGCUUCUUCCCCCCAAGUAUUUACUCUCAAAAUAAUGGUUUUUGUUUUGUUUUGGUUUGGUUUGGUUUGUUUUUUUCCAAAUACAUUUCUUCCCUAUAUCUUUAACCAAUUCUCAUAAAAUUUUGUCUAAUACACUGGUCAGUGUAUUCCAGACCCUAAAAGAUAACAUAAUGAAACUAUCUAUGACUAAAAGGUAAUCAGGAUCUUCUACUUAUCCUUUUUUCCUCCCUCUUAAACUUUAAUUUUGAUACAUUUGGGAGUGAAAUGAUGACAAUAAAUGCAAAGUAAUUAUUGAAGAAACAGUAAUUUUGUAUUAGCUUACUGAAAAAAAAAAAAAAGAUAACCAAAUAUAUUUUGGCAGCCCCAAACGAGUCACAUGUGAAAUGCAGUGGGAGAGCAGUGUCCUGAAGGAAAAGGUGGCCUGCUGGACAGCCAAGAGAACAAACAUCCACUGCAAGUAAUAUGAGCUCUAAGUUUGGACUAGGCCUAUGUCUGCUCUGAGACUUGGGGCAAUUCACUUAAUCAGAGCCUUAAUCAGCUACGGACUAGCAAUAUCCAUACCCGCUACUUAUUUUGUAAAUCUCCUUUCUAAAGUUAACUCUAUUUAUUGUUCCAUAAUCCCAUAAAUUCUAGAAUCUUUUCCUGUUAUAGCCAAGUUGUCUAUCAUUGACAGAGAUAUUCACCUGGUUGUUUUGGCUUCUCUAAUCCUCCUGGUGAGAACACCUCCAAGGGAGCUUUCAGUGGCAUUUAAGGUCACUUGUGCUCUUGGUCCUAGAAACUGCCUUGAUAGUGGUUUUAGCUCACAUGAGGUAAGUCUUUAUUAUAUGCCCAACCUCUUUAUGCAUUACUUCAUUUAAUUGUAUACUAAUCCUUUGUCAUAGGUUAUCAGAGUGUUUGAUUAUAAGUUACAGGAAGAAAAAAAAAAACAAACUCCAAUUGACUAAAACAAUGGGGCAUUUUUUGACUCACAUAACAGAGAGUCUAGAGAGAAGGCACCUUCAGGUUUGGCUGAUGAAUCCUGUAUCUCUGCCUUGUCUCCAGGCCCCCAGGUUCUGCCUCUGUCCUGACAUCCAGUGUUGGAUUCCUCUUCACAUCAACUCCUCUCUGUAGGUUGGGCCAUCAGACCCUACCUCCUUAUUUAUGUUGAGCAAAGGAGAGAGAAUGCCUCUACAAACAAUGAAAAAAGUGAAAAAAAAAAUCUUUCUCCUCCUUAUAACUUUAGUUAGCUUAACUUUAGUCAGUUGCUUAGCUACUAAACAGUAGCUAUUGGGAGGUGGGAAGGAAUACUAUUGUGUAAUCAACUAAGGCUCAUACAGAGGAUUAGGGUUAUCUGAAUUGAUUUGAAUUAAUUAGAAUUUACUCUCAGAGCUGUGGCAAUUCCUUGAACCACACUGAUUGCUAUAAAGUGGAAGAGGAAUAGAUUGAAUUUUGGGGAGUCAACUACAAUGUGUACUACAGGAACAAAACCCAUCAGAAGAUGUCAGAAGAUAAGGAUUUUUGUCCUGAUGCUACACUUACCAGCUGUCCCUCAGUGUUCUACUUCUUAAAAAAAGAGAGGUUGGUCCUGAUCCCUGGUUCUUAACCAGGGGAAAAUGAAGUGGGGCCAGGGCAUGUGCAGACUUAAAAAUUACACAGGGGAAUGUAGGCACGAUCUGUUUAAGAAAUACUGGACUAAAUGGUCUCUAAUCUGUGAUUGUAGAUUAAAGAAUAAUCUACAAUCUACACCGUGUUGGCCAGGCACGGUGGCUCACACCUGUAAUUCCAGCACUUUGGGAGGCUGAGGUGUGUGGAUCACAUGAGGUCAGGAGUUCGAGACCAGCCUCACCAAUGUGGCAAAACCCCCUCUCUACUAAAAAUACGGAAAAUUAGCUGGGUGUGGUGGUGCAUGUCUGUAGUCCCAGCUACUCGGGAGGCUAAGGCAUGAGAAUUGCUUGAACCUGGGAGGUGGAGGUUGCAGUGAGCCAAAAUCACGCCACUGCACUCCAGCCUGGGUGACAGAGUGAGACUCUGUCUCAAAAAAAAAGAAAAAAUAAAUAAUCAAAUGUAAAGUUAGCACAUAAAGGAGGCAUGUACAUAUUAUUAAAAUCUAUAUGACUACCUCUCCUUUUUCAUUUUUGGCUCAAUAUCUGUAUCUGAACACCUAAUUAAUGAAAGGAAAACAUUUGUAAUAUGUAGCAACUAAAAUGUCACCUUCUCUGUGGGGAUCACAAAGUCCUUGGCAAUCACUUCCAUACCAGACAAGUGAGUAUUGUCCUUCUCCUUUUCCAGAUGGAUAAACAGAGGCAACCCGAGGAUAAAGGCCUUGCUCAGUGUCACACAUUUCAGUCACUAAAUAAGACACAAUGGAUGCCAGUAUUCUCAUCCCCUCACAAAUAAAGAGCCUUCAAGCUCUUGCAGUCAACAAGAACUUUUGGAAUGAUUUCACUGCCUGAAAAGGCAGAUACAUAGGUGACACCCACAAAUAGGAAGAAAAUCAACCUGAACCUGAGUGUGUGGGCUCACUGACUCUAAGCAGUAGAGACAGAAGAAAAAGUUUUAGCAAAGAAGGGUUCUGAAAGAAAAUAAAUAUAGCUCGUUAUCAAGUGCUGUUUUUACACAGUAAAACAUGGGCAAAAUUACUCUUCUUUAAGUAGUAAUUCUUAUCUCUUGAUUAAGUCACCUACUCAUUCAUUUAAUAAAUACAUACUGAUUGUUUUCUAUGUGUUGAGCACUCAUCUCUGUAUUGGAAAUAUAAUAAUGACCAAAGUUGACAAUAGUAAUAACAAUAAUAGCUAAUAUAGCAGGCACUAAUAAUUAUUUGUUGAGUAAUAUGUCAAAAUUCAGUGUGAACAGCAUUCUAUUUGGGGCUGCAUCCACUGACUAUAACACAGCUAAUCUAUCUGAAAUGUUCCAGCUUUGGGCCUCUCUAACAGAAGAAGCUGUUGUUGGGCCUGCCUCUAGUUGGCGAUGCAUCCACCAAUGAGAAUGAAUUUAUGAUCGACCACUCUUCCUGUAAAGGCCGCUGGAACUGACAGCAUUGUGAUUUUCUUUUACUGUUAGUUUUAAAUUACUAGAACCAACUCAAUUACUAGAACGAACUUUACUUCUUUGUUUCCUACUUAUCAAAACAGUAAAAACAACAAGUAAAAGAAAUGCCAUCUUAAUAUUGUUUUGAUGACAAAACAGUAUUCCUUUUAGUUGUGCUUCAAAUGGAAUAAGAUGCAAACAGGCUUGGUAUGGUGGCUCACCCCUGUAAUCCCAGCCCUUUGGGAGGCCAAGGUGGAAGGAUUGCUUGAGGCCAUGAGUUUGAGACCAGCCUGCGCAACAUAGCAAGACCGUGUCUCUACAAAAAAUAAAAAAUUAGCUGAGUGUAGUGGUGUGUGCUUGUGGUCCCAGCUACUUUUGAGGCUGAGGAGGGAGAAUCUCUUGAGCCCAGAAGGUCGAAGUUGCAGUGAGCCGUGAUCGUGCCAUUGCUCUCCAGCUUGGACAACAAAGCAAGACCCUAUGUCAAAAAAUAAAUAAAUAAAAGACAUAAACAUAUCUGAGAUUAACUUUCAGUGGUAAAUUUGUUCCAUAUAUGAUUUUUAAGGUUAAAUGCUUUGGAAGCUUUAAAAACCAUUUCAGCCCUUUUAAAUGCCAACUUACACUGAUGAUGCUCUCAGAUGUUAGGAAAUCUUUUGAGCAGAAAAUGGAAGUGGGGGUGUUGAGGCAGGGAGGAGAGUGAUGCAAUAUUCCUUAGUGUCAUCCUGUGAUUUCACAAUUUGUUUUUCAAUCUGUUUGGACUUUCAAAAGGGAAGACUCUCAUAUGUCAACAAGCCCAUGAACUGAAGCUUAAAACACUGGAAACAACAACUGUAGAGUUUCAAGUAUAUGUACAUUUAUGUAUUCAUGUUCCUUGAUGGGAAUGCUGGCUGGUGUGAAUGUUCAAUCUCCUGAGAAAUGUAAAUUUUUCUCUGACAGAUUUAUUAGCUUGCUGUAUCUGAGCACAUGAGCAAAAACAAUGCCUAAUAAGAAAACUUUCUCUCUCCUUCAAAGUCAAACUUGGGAGAAAUGAAGGGAAAUCGAGUUUUCUUUGCUUGACAGUGUUCAACAUUCUUGUAGUCAGUGUGCUCAUGAAGAUUGCAAACUUUUUUUUUUUUUUAGAGCAGCUAGGACUACAGGCGCGCACCACCACACCCAGCUAAUUUGUGUAUUUUUAGUAGAGAUGGGGUUUUAACUAUGUUGGCCAAGCUUGUCUCAAACUCCUGACCUCAAGUGAUCCAUUCGACAGCUCUUUCUUUUUUUUUUUUUUUUUUGAGACAAAGUCUCGCUCUGUCACCCAGGCUGGAGUGCAGUGGUAUGAUCUCAGCUCACUGCAACCUCCGCCUCCUGGGUUCAAGCAAUUCUCAUGCCUUAGCCUCCCGAAU